GGGUCAGUAGGUUGGUCGUGCCACCGGUACGUACUGGUCUCACUGAUUCCUCCUUCCUGAAGAGCCGUAAUGCCAUUAAUUUGGUGUUGCGGGGAAACAGGACUGUUACUUUGAAAAAAUUAGAGUGUUUAAAGCAAGCCAACGCUUGAAUACAUUAGCAUGGAAUAAUGAAAUAGGACGAUCGAUCCUAUUUUGUUGGUUUCUAGGAUUGACGUA
rnacentral:rRNA from 1 species